AUGCCACAAUACCCUACAACGACACAGUGCCCCACAACGACAGUGCCCCACAGCGACACAGUGCCCCACAACGACACAGUGCCCCACAACGACACAGUGCCCCACAACGACACAGUGCCCCACAACGACACAGUGCCCCACAACGACACAGUGCCCCACAACGACACAGUGCCCCACAGCGACACAGUGCCCCACAACGACACAGUGCCCCACAGCGACACAGUGCCCCACAGCGACACAGUGCCCCACAGCGACACAGUGCCCCACAGCGACACAGUGCCCCACAGCGACACAGUGCCCCACAGCGACACUGUACCCCACAACGACACUGUACCCCACAACGACACUAUACCCCACAACACUAUACCCCACUAUACCCCACAACGACACUAUACCCCACAACGACACUACAACACUAUACCCCACAACGACACUGUACCCCACAACGACACUAUACCCCACAACACUAUACCCCACUAUACCCCACAACGACACUAUACCCCACAACGACACUACAACACUAUACCCCACAACGACACUACACCCCACAACGACACUACACCCCACUAUACCCCACAACGACACUACACCCCACUAUACCCCACAACGACACUACACCCCACAACGACACUACACCCCACUAUACCCCACAACGACACUAUACCCCACAACAACACUAUACCCCACAAUGACACUAUACCCCACAACGACACUAUACCCCACAACGACACUAUACCCCACUAUACCCCACAACGACACUACACCCCACUAUACUCCACAACGACACUAUACCCCACAACAACACUAUACCCCACAAUGACACUAUACCCCACAACGACACUAUACCCCACUAUACCCCACAACGACAGUAUACCCCACUAUACCCCACAACGACACUAUACCCCACAACGACACUAUACCCCACAACGACACUAUACCUCACUAUACCCCACUACACCCCACAAUACCCACUACACCCCACAACGACACAAAGCCGAAACAGGUUUAUAG
rnacentral:lncRNA from 1 species